CAUGCGUAUACAAGGCAUAGCCAUGACUCAUAAUUUUUAUCGAACUCCAUCUUUUUAGCAUGCUUAUGCAAAUUACAUUUUUGUACAAGAAUUAUGUCUUUAUCAGAUGGGGAUCACCACAAUGUAAAAUGUUACUCCCUCUGCCCCAUAAUGUAGUGCGUAUAGAUUUUCAGAAAAGUCAAACUAAGCAAACUUUGACCGAGUUUACACUAUUUUUAUAUAGAAUUCCAAACAUAUACAACAUGAAAAUAUAAUUGAUGAUGUAUCCAAUGAUAUGCAUUUGGUGUUUAAAUGUACAUAUUUUUGUCCAUAAACAUGGUCAAAGUUUGUAAUGUUUGACUUUUGAAAAAAUCUGUACGCACUACAUUAUGGAACGGCGGGAGUACCUUUUAUAGUUCUUUCCUUGUGGAUCUUCUGAUCACUUUAACUGAUAGAAUGUCAAACAUUUGUUCAGGUGUGAAGCAUUUCCAACUUACCCGAGAACAUAUGAUAUGGUACAUGCUGAUGGCUUUCUAUCACUUGAAAAGCGCCAAAAACGUAGAUGUUCUACUCUUGACAUAUUCUUGGAAGUUGAUCGCAUCCUAAGACCAGAGGGCUGGAUUAUAAUACGUGACACAGCCCCUCUUAUUGAAGCUGCAAGAUCUGUUGCUGCUCAGCUCAGAUGGGAUGCCCGUAUAUUGGAUCUUGACAUAGCUAGCGAUGAAAAACUGUUGGUCUGUCAGAAGCCCUUUCUGAAAAAAUAAUGAGCAUACCAGACACUGACACACGAUUCAGAAAUUGGAAUUAUUCUUUACCCCCAAAAUACUGUUACACGUAUUGUCCGAGAACAACUGGGAACAAAUUUCAGUUGAAACACUGGAGGAAUGGGUCAGCUAACUCGUCAUGAAUCAUCAUGGGUCGCAAGGUGCCAUGAGACUGAUCGGGCAAGUGCAUGCUGCAGAGGACGACAGGCUUGGUGGCUAAGCUUUCCAGGCCAAGGUUUUACUGCCAAGAGACGGUGAUGAAGGCGGCAAAGUUAAUUUUGUAGCAAAACCAUAUAUUUAAUAAAGGGAUGAUGCUGCGGCGUACAUAAUCGCGGCCAAUGUGUCACAUAGGUAUAAUUCCAUUUUUCUCCCUCUCCCUCAUUGCAUUCUCCUCCUCUGUAAUGGUGCUCAUUCAUUUUUGUAUCUUGUAUGUAAAAUUUGUUGGUAUCUAUACUGGCCACCCCCAGAUUACAAUAUUUGUGAAAUGAAGGUCAAUAUUUGAGGUGAA